GGUUAAUGCAGGACUGGCCGAGCAGAGUCAGAGGUCUCACUAUACCUGAGAAUGACAACGAGACGAAGCAAUGUUCAAGUGGGUUUGCACAAAUGUUCCUAGUUCCUGUAUCUACGAGUUCUUCUCUCGUGGGGAUUGUGUCACCAUCCUGCAUACACAGGAUCCGCAUCACACGGGACUCCAUACGCAUGAUGAGUGGGACGGUCUUUCCCCAGAAGCGGGGCACGAGAGAGAGAUAAUUCGCUGUCUGUAUCUCUUCUCCUUCGAAAAACCACCAGGACAAUGAAUAGAAGAAUCACUGAAAAGAUCAGAGUGAGAAAAGAGCUAUGGUGAUGGGGGCAAGCUCGCAUAUGUCUCCAGCCUUCCUGAAGAAAGUUUCCAUGCAAUAACCAGGAGCAGUGCUGCCCUCAGGGCAAAACGCAUCACUGGGGCACUGGAUUGGAUCCACA